GAAAUGCGAUAAGUAAUGUGAAUUGCAGAAUUCAGUGAAUCAUCGAAUCUUUGAACGCACCUUGCGCCCUUUGGUAUUCCGAAGAGCAUGCCUGUUUGAGUGUCAUGAAACUAUCAACCCCGACUUGGUUUACUCCUUGUCUUGGCUUGGACUUGGGUGUUUGCUGCUGCAAAGCUGCUCGCCUUAAAUGGAUUAGCUGGACCCUGCUUUGUGACUAGGUUUGACUCGGCGUAAUAAGUUAUUUCGCUGAGGACAUCUUUAGAUGGCCUAGUCGCUUUGCGAACAUCUGCUCUCUAACCCGUUCCCAAUUGGGACAUGACUUUUUAUUUUGGCCUCAAAUCAGGUAGGACUACCCGCUGAACUUAA
rnacentral:misc_RNA from 1 species